rnacentral:rRNA from 1 species
AGCGCUGAAGUUGGUACUUGUACCAACUGGAUGAGCAGCGAACGGGUGAGUAACGCGUGGGGAAUCUGCCUUUGAGCGGGGGACAACAUUUGGAAACGAAUGCUAAUACCGCAUAAAAACUUUAAACACAAGUUUUAAGUUUGAAAGAUGCAAUUGCAUCACUCAAAGAUGAUCCCGCGUUGUAUUAGCUAGUUGGUGAGGUAAAGGCUCACCAAGGCGAUGAUACAUAGCCGACCUGAGAGGGUGAUCGGCCACAUUGGGACUGAGACACGGCCCAAACUCCUACGGGAGGCAGCAGUAGGGAAUCUUCGGCAAUGGACGAAAGUCUGACCGAGCAACGCCGCGUGAGUGAAGAAGGUUUUCGGAUCGUAAAACUCUGUUGGUAGAGAAGAACGUUGGUGAGAGUGGAAAGCUCAUCAAGUGACGGUAACUACCCAGAAAGGGACGGCUAACUACGUGCCAGCAGCCGCGGUAAUACGUAGGUCCCGAGCGUUGUCCGGAUUUAUUGGGCGUAAAGCGAGCGCAGGUGGUUUAUUAAGUCUGGUGUAAAAGGCAGUGGCUCAACCAUUGUAUGCAUUGGAAACUGGUAGACUUGAGUGCAGGAGAGGAGAGUGGAAUUCCAUGUGUAGCGGUGAAAUGCGUAGAUAUAUGGAGGAACACCGGUGGCGAAAGCGGCUCUCUGGCCUGUAACUGACACUG